AAUGGACGAAAGUCUGAACCAGCCAUGCCGCGUGAAGGAUGACGGCCUACGGGUUGUAAACUUCUUUUGUAUAGGAAGAACCCGCCUACGUGUAGGGGGCUGACGGUACUAUACGAAUAAGCACCGGCUAACUCCGUGCCAGCAGCCGCGGUAAUACGGAGGGUGCAAGCGUUAUCCGGAAUUAUUGGGUUUAAAGGGUGCGUAGGCGGAAAUUUAAGUCAGUGGUGAAAGCCUGCAGCUCAACUGUAGAAUUGCCAUUGAUACUGAAUUUCUUGAAUCUAAUUGAAGUGGGCGGAAUAUGACAUGUAGCGGUGAAAUGCUUAGAUAUGUCAUAGAACACCGAUAGCGAAGGCAGCUCACUAAGUUAGUAUUGACGCUCAUGCACGAAAGCGUGGGGAGCGAACAGGAUU
rnacentral:rRNA from 1 species